UACGUAGGGGGCAAGCGUUGUCCGGAAUCAUUGGGCGUAAAGCGCGUGUAGGCGGCCCGAUAAGUCCGCUGUGAAAGUCCAGGGCUCAACCCUGGGAUGCCGGUGGAUACUGUCGGGCUCGAGUCCGGAAGAGGAGUGUGGAAUUCCUGGUGUAGCGGUGAAAUGCGCAGAUAUCAGGAGGAACACCAAUGGCGAAGGCAGCACUCUGGGACGUGACUGACGCUGAGACGCGAAAGCGUGGGGGAGCAAAACAGG
rnacentral:rRNA from 1 species